UUUUUUCUGGGUGUGGCAUCGUCCUGCUCGUCCAAGCACACACAACAGUUGGAAUGUUGGCAACGGUAAUAAUGGCGGCGUUAACAACAAUCAGAAUACCGGUGGCGGAUACGGUGGAAGCAACUCAUUGACUGGCGGCAACGGAAAUGAUGGACCUGUAUCCAACAACCAACAAGGUUAUAGGGGCUUUGUUCAAAUGGAAUUUAUCGAUAAUGAGAGCCGUCAAUAGCAGUACGUGUAAGACUUUAAAGUACUAGUAGGAAACCUUCAUCCCUAUGUCGACUUUUUUCCUUCAACUGGCUGUUAAGUCAAGUUUGUGUCAAAUCUUUCAAUUUUUGAUAGGACUGAUGUAAGCAGUCGAGAUGUUCAGUAAUAGGAGCCGAAUUAAAUAAAACUGCGGUGUUAGUUACCUUU